rnacentral:rRNA from 1 species
AUUGAACGCUGGCGGCAUGCUUUACACAUGCAAGUCGAACGGUAACAGCACUUCGGUGGCUGACGAGUGGCGAACGGGUGAGUAAUACAUCGGAACGUGCCUAGUAGUGGGGGAUAACUACUCGAAAGAGUAGCUAAUACCGCAUGAGAUCUAAGGAUGAAAGCAGGGGACCUUCGGGCCUUGCGCUACUAGAGCGGCUGAUGGCAGAUUAGGUAGUUGGUGGGAUAAAAGCUUACCAAGCCGACGAUCUGUAGCUGGUCUGAGAGGACGACCAGCCACACUGGGACUGAGACACGGCCCAGACUCCGACGGGAGGCAGCAGUGGGGAAUUUUGGACAAUGGGCGCAAGCCUGAUCCAGCAAUGCCGCGUGCAGGAUGAAGGCCUUCGGGUUGUAAACUGCUUUUGUACGGAACGAAAAGCCCUCUUCUAAUACAGGAGGGUCAUGACGGUACCGUAAGAAUAAGCACCGGCUAACUACGU